GUAGGAGGCAAGUGUUGUUCGGAAUUAUUGGGCGUAAAGAGCAUGUAGGCGGCUUUGUAAGUCAGGGGUGAAAUCCCUCGGCUCAACCGAGGAAGUGCCUUUGAAACUACAGAGCUUGAGUAUGAGAGAGGAAAGCGGAAUUUCCAGUGUAGCGGUGAAAUGCGUAGAUAUUGGAAAGAACACCGGUGGCGAAGGCGGCUUUCUGGAUCAUUACUGACGCUGAGAUGCGAAAGCCAGGGGAGCGAACGGGAUUAGAUACCCCGGUAGUCCUGGCCGUAAACUAUGGAUACUAGGUAUAGGAGGUAUCGACUCCUUCUGUGCCGUAGCUAACGCGUUAAGUAUCCG
rnacentral:rRNA from 1 species